rnacentral:rRNA from 1 species
CAUGCAAGUCGAACGGAAAGGCCCUUCGGGGUACUCGAGUGGCGAACGGGUGAGUAACACGUGGGUGAUCUGCCCUGCACUUUGGGAUAAGCCUGGGAAACUGGGUCUAAUACCGAAUAUGACCAUGCACUUCCUGGUGUGUGGUGGAAAGCUUUUGCGGUGUGGGAUGGGCCCGCGGCCUAUCAGCUUGUUGGUGGGGUAAUGGCCUACCAAGGCGACGACGGGUAGCCGGCCUGAGAGGGUGACCGGCCACACUGGGACUGAGAUACGGCCCAGACUCCUACGGGAGGCAGCAGUGGGGAAUAUUGCACAAUGGGCGCAAGCCUGAUGCAGCGACGCCGCGUGAGGGAUGACGGCCUUCGGGUUGUAAACCUCUUUCAGCACAGACGAAGCGCAAGUGACGGUAUGUGCAGAAGAAGGACCGGCCAACUACGUGCCAGCAGCCGCGGUAAUACGUAGGGUCCGAGCGUUGUCCGGAAUUACUGGGCGUAAAGAGCUCGUAGGUGGUUUGUCGCGUUAAUGGUGAAAACUCACA